CCGCGUGAAGGAUGAAGGCCUUCGGGUCGUAAACUUCUGUUAGGUGGGAAGAAAUAUGUAGGCUUAAUAGGUCUGCAGGAUGACGGUACCACCAGAGAAAGCACCGGCUAACUUCGUGCCAGCAGCCGCGGUAAUACGAAGGGUGCAAGCGUUAUUCGGAAUUAUUGGGCGUAAAGGGUAUGCAGGCGGCAUGCUAAGUCAACUGUCUAAUUUCUCGGCCUAACCGGGAGUCGGCGGUAGAUACUAGUGUGCUAGAGGAUGAGAGAGAGGAGUGCAAUUCUCGGAGUAGCGGUAAAAUGCGUAGAUCUCGAGAGGAACACCGAUGGCGAAAGCAGCUUCUUGGCUCAUUCCUGACGCUCAGAUACGAAAGCGUGGGUAGCAAACAGGAUUAGAUACCCUGGUAGUCCACGCUGUAAACGAUGAUCACUAGACGUUGAGCUUGCUUUGCAAGCCCAGUGUCGAAGCUAACGCGAUAAGUGAUCCGCCUGGGGAGUACGGUCGCAAGAUUAAAACUCAAAGAAAUUGACGGGGGUCCGCACAAGCGGUGGAACCAGUGGUUUAAUUCGAUGUUACGCGAGAAACCCUACCUAGGUUUGACAUGUAUAGGACCGUCAUAAAGAUAUGAUUUUUCGAGGUUUUCUCGAACCUAUACCCCGGGUGCUGCCUGGGCUGUCGUC
rnacentral:rRNA from 1 species